rnacentral:rRNA from 1 species
UACGUAGGGGGCAAGCGUUGUCCGGAUUUAUUGGGCGUAAAGAGCUCGUAGGCGGCUUGUCACGUCAACUGUGAAAACCCGUGGCUCAACCAUGUGGUCUGCAGUCGAUACGGGCAGGCUAGAAUUCGGUAGGGGAGACUGGAAUUCCUGGUGUAGCGGUGAAAUGCGCAGAUAUCAGGAGGAACACCGGUGGCGAAGGCGGGUCUCUGGGCCGAUAUUGACGCUGAGGAGCGAAAGCUAGGGUAGCAAACGGG